CACGCUUGUAGUGCUUACUGGCGCAGAACUCUCCGCAGCCUCCAGCGGGCCUCCGACUCUCAGCUUCCUCCUUCUCUUACUUCUCCGAAAGGCUGAGAAAAGCAAGAGCGGCUUCUCAACUUCCUCAGGCAGACCGAGCGCCCUAAAUUACACAGCAAACCAACCCAACACUCCCGGGGAACUUGCCUGGCCCAUGGCCCUUGGAAGAGGGAGCCCCAAAGACUGUAUUGCUCCGCCGAUGGGACUGGAGGUGGUCCCCUGAGCCCCGAACAGCUAACCACCGUCUGGCUCGUGACUUCAGUGUCCUGGAUGCAAGAAUUCGGCUGGGUCAAUCAGAUCGCUGUUUCUUUCUAGCGUUUGAACUAAUUCUGUUUUGAAGAGAUGUCUAUUGCUUGAAGCCAAAAGAGCCUUGGCUGGAUUUUUUUCCUUUGGGACUCAGACUGAAUGACCACCCCCCACCCCCCAGCUCUGCACACGUGCAACCCCAACAUGGCCCCCGGCUGUCGCGGCACUUGGCUGUCACGGCACUUGGCUGUCACGCUCUCUCAGUUCCAGACUCCUCCAAGGAGGGGUUUAUCCUCUUUUCCUUGUAUCCUCAGCACCCAGCACGGAGCUCACUGAAGAUCUGUUGCCUCAUACAUGGUUGUUGACUGAGAGAACUAAAUGUGCCUGUGUUUUC